UUGCUUCGGCAGUACAUAUACAAAAUUUGGAGCGAUGCAGAGAAGAUUAGCUUGGCCCCUGCCCAAGGAUGUCAAUGAAAAUCGUAAUGAGCUCCAUAUUUUU